rnacentral:rRNA from 1 species
GACGAACGCUGGCGGCGUGCUUAACACAUGCAAGUCGAACGGAAAGGCCCUGCUUGCGGUGUACUCGAGUGGCGAACGGGUGAGUAACACGUGGGUGGACUGCCCUGCUCUUCGGCUUAAGCCUGUGAAACUGGGUCGAAUUCCUGAUGGGAGCCAUUUUUAGCGUGAUGGUUGGAAAGUUUUUUCGGUUUUUGGUGAGCUCGUGGCCUAUCAGCUCGUUGGUGUGGUAAUGGACUACCAAGGCGGCGUCGGGUAGCCGGACUGAGUGGGUGGCCGGCCACACUGGGACUGACGGGCGGCACAGACACGUAAGGGAGGACGAAGGGGGGAAGCUUGAACAAGGGGCGCCAGCUGGGUGAAGAAAGGCCGCGGGGGGGAUGACGGUCUUAGGGUUGAAGAACACUUUCGCUAGGGACGAAGCUUUUUGUGACGGUACCUAGACAAGAAGCACCGGCUAACUACGUG